UCAAUAAAAAAAUAGUUUCUUUUAAUCAUACUCAUUCUUAGAAAGAAAUAUACUACUUUAAUACGCUAGCUAAUUGGACAGUCGAUUGCGACGAAUAGUGUUACUUCCAUAGACAAUAACUAGCUCACCUUCGGGCCUUUUCCUACAAUUGUUAUCAAUCUGACUGUUACUGUUUACCCACAGCUGCUAACUGGCUUAUUUAACGAACAGCUAGGUGACUAGCUUAGGAACGGACCAUUAGAUACAUCAGUGGGGCGGUUGCAGCUUUUUCUGUGCCGGACAAGGCAUGUAGUAAAACAUGGACUGGACUCAUUAGUAAAACAUGGAC